rnacentral:lncRNA from 1 species
AGCAAAUCUUCUGUAUUUUCUCUUUGAGUGUUUUGAAAGAUUCUAGAGCUUGGAUCUCUGAGAGGAAAAAUAUUGAGGGAGAAAGAGAGUUUAUUUGGAGAGUGAUAAAAAUAGCGAGGAAAAUACUUUGAAUUUUUUGAGAAACACUUUAAGUGCCACUAUUUUUUGGUAGAACUCACUUGUAAUAUCCCUCUUUGUACCUACUAUUUUUAUAGUAGAAGAAUUAAUUGGAGUUCGAAUUGUGGAUGUAGCCCAAAAUUAAGGAUGAAUCAUGUACAAUUAUUACGUACCACUUAUUUACUUUUUUGCAGUAUUUUAUUUUUAUUAUUUUAAAAGCGAUAUUUAUUUCAUUUUUAUUAUUUUAAAAGUGGUGUUUUCCCAAUAUUAACAACACCUGGUUUCAAAUAAUCUUUCUAAAUUUUUCUUUUUUUUGUUUUUUUUACUUUGAUAGUCCAUUCUUAAUCCCUUCUGAUCAGUUAUGGAGUUUUUCUGUAACACUAGGGUCGUGCAUCUUUGUAGUCAUUAAGAUGAGUAUAUACAUUGAGGAAGAUGAGAGUUAUGCUCCUAAGACUCAAACAAAUCUUCUAAGAAUGCUAUGAAUUAUGGAGUCUAUCGUUGAAGCCGACAACUUAAUCCUCUCUAAAGUCGCAACAGUGUUCCGGUGGUAUCAUUUUCACAUGAAUAGAUUAUAAGAGAGGGAAAGAGUUAAUGCGGGUCACAAUCAUCUGAGUAUAGGGCAAAGAGAUAAAGAUGAGAGUUUGUGGGUAAAAAAUAAUGAGGAUAUUUUUUAAAUUUAAAAUAUUUUUUAUUAUUUUUUUAACUAUUUUUCUUUAACCAUUAAUUUAAUAGAUUUUGUGGAUGAAUGACUUUUAAUUAAAACGAAGUGUUUAGUUUUAAAAAUUAUAUUAAAUUUAAAUAUUAAAAUAUAAUUUAUUUUAUUUUAAAACAUUUUUAAAUUAAAAAAUUAACUAUUAAUUGUACACUAAAUAGUAAAUUCCUGU